rnacentral:snoRNA from 1 species
GUCCAAAAUACAGUGAUGUUGUCUUUUCCAAGCACACAUGUGAUUGCUCUGUGUGGAAAAUGACUGUUCCUGAGAGAUUUUUUGGAU